CCGAAUCUGUGAAAACAAUUCUGACGUGACUUAAUUCCAUUUUGUUUCUCAUCGGAUAUAACCGCCAGUUUUUGUUUACAUGAUUGAACUGAUCAAAAAAUUAAAAAGACAUAGAAAUCAAUACAACUCUAUUGGAACACCCACCUAAACAGGACUUCAAAGACUGCGUCUCUCUCUGGGGUUUCACCUGUUCCUCCUUUGUGCUGAUUUCCCUUGUCUCUAUAUUCGGACCAGGUGGAUGGACCUGUCCACCUUUCAUUUAAAAACAGGAACUGAGGAAUGUACGGAGAGCAACCUAUAGUUUGGCAAGAUAGCCGCGGGCUGUGCAACAAAGACCGCAGUUACCGCUGGGUAAUCGCUUUGUAGUUCCCAGGAGUCACAGAUUCUAGCAUCAGGUAGUCCACGAUGGACUUCCUCUAUGUAUUAGAUGUAUUCCUAGCCCAGCUCCAAGAACUCAAGCUCGCCGAGAUCAAACUGAGGACUUGAGGUUGGAUUUCAAUCAUCUCAGCCAGCAUAACAGUCCGUAUAUUGCCUUGGUCAUAUCCUUGACAGCGGACUAUACUCAUUCCCGUCUUUCCAAAAACCAUAGAAGACCUUACCCAAAGUUCCCGAUAGUGUGGCGCGGAUAGGAGAGGCAGAAACUAAAAUAAUUCCAAAAGUAUUUCCCGUAAUUCCCUAUGAUUCUGAGAGGAAACUAAAAAUCAUACCGAAAGUACUUCCCUCGGAAAAUGGAGCUCAGAAAUAUAUCCUUCAGAACGCUGAAAGGUUUGCAACAAAACUGAAACUUGGCUAACUUUGGUCCUUUUGAUAUUUCCACAAUUUUCUUAAAGGAAAGAAAUAUUCAUUCUAAAAGUAUUUCCCUUAAAGGGGAGGAGGAGGAGCUUCAACAUUAUUUCUCCAUGUUUUUGAGAAUAAUGGGAACUAAGAUUCAUUCAAUCUUUUUAAUUUGUCAAAGAAAUAAAAAUAUAAGUAUAUAAGAAAUUAAAU